AGGCAGCAGUGGGGAAUAUUGGACAAUGGGCGCAAGCCUGAUCCAGCCAUGCCGCGUGUGUGAAGAAGGCCUUCGGGUUGUAAAGCACUUUUGUUGGGAAAGAAAAGCGGUCGGUUAAUACCCGGUCGUUCUGACGGUACCCAAAGAAUAAGCACCGGCUAACUUCGUGCCAGCAGCCGCGGUAAUACGAAGGGUGCAAGCGUUACUCGGAAUUACUGGGCGUAAAGCGUGCGUAGGUGGUUUGUUAAGUCAGAUGUGAAAGCCCCGGGCUCAACCUGGGAAUUG
rnacentral:rRNA from 1 species